rnacentral:rRNA from 1 species
CCUACGGGUGGCAGCAGUGGGGAAUCUUGCACAAUGGGCGAAACCCUGAUGCAGCGACGCCGCGUGAGUGAAGAAGGAAUUCGUUAUGUAAAGCUCUAUUAGUAGGGAAGAAAAUGUGGGUACGUGACUAAGAAUCCCCUGCGAAUUCCUUGCCAGCAGCCGCGGUAAUACGUAGGGGGCAAGGGUUAUCCGGAUUUACUGGGUGUAAAGGGAGCGUAGACGGUUGUGCAAGUCUGAAGUGAAAGGCGUGGGCUCAACCCGCGGAGUGCAUUGGAAACUGUACAGCUGGAGUGCAGGAGAGGUAAGUGGAAUUCCUAGUGUAGCGGUGAAAUGCGUAGAGAUUAGGAGGAACACCAGUGGCGAAGGCGGCUUACUGGUCUGUAACUGACGUUGAGGCUCGAAAGCGUGGGGAGCAAACAGGAUUAGAUACCCCUGUAGUC